UGGGGAAUCUUGCGCAAUGGGCGAAAGCCUGACGCAGCGACGCCGCGUGGGGGAAGAAGGCCUUCGGGUUGUAAACCUCUUUCAGCAGGGACGAAGCCACUCGGGUGAAUAGCCCAGAGGGUGACGGUACCUGCAGAAGAAGCCCCGGCUAACUACGUGCCAGCAGCCGCGGUAAUACGUAGGGGGCAAGCGUUGUCCGGAUUUAUUGGGCGUAAAGAGCGUGUAGGCGGCCAGACAGGUCCGUUGUGAAAACUAGAGGCUUAACCUCUAGACGGCGAUGGAAACCGUCUGGCUAGAGUCCGGAAGAGGAGAAUGGAAUUCCUGGUGUAGCGGUGAAAUGCGCAGAUAUCAGGAAGAACACCCGUGGCUAAGGCGGUUCUCUAGUACGGUACUGACGCUGAGACGCGAAAGCGUGGGGAGCGAACAGG
rnacentral:rRNA from 1 species